rnacentral:rRNA from 1 species
GUUUACAGCCACACUCUACUGAAUGCACCCAAUCUCAUCUGAUGUCAAAAGCUAAGCAGGGUCAGGCCUGGUUAGUACUUGAAUGGGAGAAAGAUCUUCAGAGGAGACUGUUCAGA